GGGGGUGUACUGGUUUCGACGGGGGAUUGCGGUGGCUUGAGAAGCGAGUCGAGGUCGCACUAGCUCGUAAAACGGUGCACAAAAAGUAAACGCAGACAGAAAUUACGCUUUAGCUGCUUAAUUGCAGGCUAACCUCCUACCUACCUUUGCCUGCGAGGCGGGAUAGGGGGUCACACUAGCAGGCUACUCUUAAGUGAGCGCCGUGUAGCUUAAGGGGAAACCAACAUGGCUGGCUUUAAGAAAUCCUGUUUGUGGGAGUUCUUAGGGCGAGAAUGUAAAACACAAACUACACUCGUAGAAGCUCAAGUGGCUGGUCCUUCGGACAGGGGUUCGACUCCCCUCACCUCCACCA
rnacentral:tmRNA from 1 species